UGGCUCAGGAUGAACGCUAGCGGCAGGCUUAACACAUGCAAGUCGAGGGGUAUAGGGAGCUUGCUUCCUAGAGACCGGCGCACGGGUGCGUAACGCGUAUGCAAUCUACCUUUUGCAGAGGGAUAGCCCAGAGAAAUUUGGAUUAAUACCUCAUAGUAUAUAUGAAUGGCAUCAUUUAUAUAUUAAAGUCACAACGGCAAAAGAUGAGCAUGCGUCCCAUUAGCUAGAUGGUAAGGUAACGGCUUACCAUGGCUACGAUGGGUAGGGGUCCUGAGAGGGAGAUCCCCCACACUGGUACUGAGACACGGACCAGACUCCUACGGGAGGCAGCAGUGAGGAAUAUUGGACAAUGGGCGCAAGCCUGAUCCAGCCAUGCCGCGUGCAGGAUGACGGUCCUAUGGAUUGUAAACUGCUUUUGUACGGGAAGAAACCCUCCUACGUGUAGGAGCUGGACGGACCGAAGAAUAAG
rnacentral:rRNA from 1 species